UAUGUACUCCCUCCAUUUGAAAUUACUCGUCCAAAAAAUAAAUUUAUCUAGAUGUAUUUUAGUUGUAAAUACAUUCAUUUUUAUCCAAAUUUUGUUACAGGUAAUUCCGAAUGGAGGGAGUAGUUC
rnacentral:pre_miRNA from 1 species